rnacentral:lncRNA from 1 species
AAGGUGAGUCAGUACAGGUAAUCGGAAUGAACCUCCAGGGGUUAUCCCACAAAUAAAGUGGGAAACCACGCAAGUUAUCCCUGCAAAAGUCAUGUGCCUUCACAAAAACUCAACAAAGGGGUUAGUGAAACAAGAUAGGGUAACCAAGAGUUGCCCCCAAAUCAAAAUGUAACCACAUGAAUCAUGCUCUUUCAAUUCAC